GGGGAUUUAGCUCAGUGGUAGAGCGCUUGCCUAGCAAGUGCAAGGCCCUAGUUUCAGUCCUCA
rnacentral:tRNA from 1 species